rnacentral:lncRNA from 1 species
GAUGAGCUUAAUUGUAUGUGAUGAAAAGGUUCAAGUUUGGGGUUGUACGGGGGAAAAUUGAAAAAGCAAGUAAAAGGCAUUGAGCUCGAUUGUUGUGAAAAGAGAAAAAUUCAUAAGAAAAAGAAAAGAAAAGAAGAAAAGCAUGAAGAUGAGCUCAAUGAAAAAGAAAAGAAAAGGGAAGAAGUGGGGAAUGAGAGUCAUUGGUGAGAGAGUUGUGCUUAAAUGAUUUGUUAGCUCUCUUGACUCAAGGAUUUUUGCAUUCUAGAAAGACCAAUUUUUCUUGUUAGCCCAACCUCAUUACAAGCCUUGAAAAAGUCCUUUUGAUGGCAUUUGCAUGUAAAGAUGUUGAUGGUUUGAGAUGAAUGGCAAUUUUGUUUCAUGUAACUUGUGAACAAUAGAGAGUGGAGUGUCACCUUAAACACUUGAGUGAUUGAGUGAAACACUUGCUUGGUAUGAACUGUUGAUUUUCAUGAGUACAUU